rnacentral:rRNA from 1 species
GACGAACGCUGGCGGCGUGCUUAACACAUGCAAGUCGAGCGGUAAGGCCCUUUCGGGGGUACGACGAGCGGCGAACGGGUGAGUAACACGUGGGUGACCUGCCCUAGCUCUGGGAUAAGCCUGGGAAACUGGGUCUAAUACCGGAUAUGACUCCAUGACGCAUGUUGUGGGGUGGAAANCCUUGUGCGGCUAGGGAUGGGCCCGCGGCCUAUCAGCUUGUUGGUGGGGUGAUGGCCUACCAAGGCGACGACGGGUAGCCGGCCUGAGAGGGCGACCGGCCACACUGGGAC